GGGGGGGGGGGGGCAGGAUGAAAAAUUUUGUCCUGCAUUUUUUUUUAGUUGUAAUCUCUGUCCUGCCUUUUUAUUUUUCACUCUAUUCGGUCCUGCCUUUUUUUUAUUAGUUUAUCCUGACUUUUUUUUACCUAAAUUGUCAUCCUGCCUUUUUUUUUUUUGCAAAGUGUCUCAUCCUGCCUUUUUUUUUGACUCAAAACUCCUGUCCUGCCUAUUUUUUCAAAUUUCAUCCUAGCCCCCCCCCCCC
rnacentral:lncRNA from 1 species